GACGAACGCUGGCGGCGUGCUUAACACAUGCAAGUCGAACGGAAAGGCCCUGCUUUUGUGGGGUGCUCGAGUGGCGAACGGGUGAGUAACACGUGAGUAACCUGCCCUUGACUUUGGGAUAACUUCAGGAAACUGGGGCUAAUACCGGAUUGGAGCUCCUGUGGCAUGGUGGGGUUUGGAAAGUUUCGGCGGUUGGGGAUGGAUCCGCGGCUUAUCAGCUUGUUGGUGGGGUAGUGGCUUACCAAGGCUUUGCCGGGUAGCCGGCCUGAGAGGGUGACCGGCCACAUUGGGACUGAGAUACGGCCCAGACUCCUACGGGAGGCAGCAGUGGGGAAUAUUGCACAAUGGGCGGAAGCCUGAUGCAGCAACGCCGCGUGCGGGAUGACGGCCUUCGGGUUGUAAACCGCUUUCGCCUGUGACGAAGCGUGAGUGACGGUAAUGGGUAAAGAAGCACCGGCUAACUACGUG
rnacentral:rRNA from 1 species